CCUACGGGAGGCUGCAGUGGGGAAUAUUGCACAAUGGAGGGAACUCUGAUGCAGCGACGCCGCGUGAGUGAAGAAGUAUUUCGUUAUGUAAAGCUCUAUCAGCAGGGAAGAACAUGACGGUACCUGACAAAGAAGCUCCGGCUAAAUACGUGCCAGCAGCCGCGGUAAUACGUAUGGAGCAAGCGUUAUCCGGAUUUACUGGGUGUAAAGGGAGAGUAGACGGCAGAGCAAGUCCGAAGUGAAAUCCCAUGGCUGAACGAUGGAAAUGCUUUAGAAACUGUGCAGCUAGAGUGCAGGAGAGGCAAGGGGAAGUCUUAGUGUAGCGGUGGAAGGCGUAGAUAUAAGGAGGAACACCAGUGGCGAAGGCGGCUGGCUGGUCUGUAACUGACGCUGAGGCUCGAAAGCGUGGGGAGCAAACAGGAUUAGAGACCCGUGUAGUC
rnacentral:rRNA from 1 species